GGGGUCAUCGUCCAGCGGCAAGACGCAGGUCCUGCAAACCUGAGAGCGGGGUUCGAAUCCCCGUGACUCCACAA
rnacentral:tRNA from 1 species